UACGAAGGGGGCAUAGCGUUGAUUCGGAUUUAGCUAGGGCGUAAAGCGCACGGUAGGCGGUUUGUUAAGUCAGGGGUGAAAUCCCAAGAGGCUCCAACUCUGGAACUGACCUUUGAUACUGGCAAGCUCGAGUCCGGAAGAGGUAAGUGGAACUCGUAAGUGUAGAGGUGGAAUUCGUAGAUAUUCGCAAGAACACAGUGGCGAAGGCGGCUCACUGGCCGGUACUGACGCUGAGGUGCGAAAGCGUGGGGAGCAAACAGG
rnacentral:rRNA from 1 species